GGUUCUUUCGGGGACCUAUUAAAGUGGCGAACGGGUGAGUAACGCAUAGACAACCUGCCCUUGAGACGGGGAUAACUUUCCGAAAGGGGAACUAAUACCCGAUAAUGUCCCGAGUUGUAGGACUUGGGACCAAAGUUAGCCUCUGAUUCAAGCCUGCGCUCAGGGAGGGGUUUAUGUCCUAUUAGCUUGAUGGUGGGGUAACGGCCUACCAUGGCGAUGAUGGGUAGCCGGCCUGAGAGGGUGACCGGCCACACUGGGACUGAGACACUGCCCAGACUCCUACGGGAGGCUGCAGUCGAGAAUCUUCCGCAAUGCGCGCAAGCGUGACGGAGCGACGCCGCGUGGGCGAUGAAGGCCUUCGGGUUGUAAAGCCCUGUUGCCUACUAUGAAAAUCGGGUGGUGAAUAGCCAUCCCGGGUGACAAAGGUAGGAGAGGAAGCACCGGCUAAAUACGUGCCAGCAGCCGCGGUAAUACGUAUGGUGCAAACGUUGUUCGGAAUCACUGGGCAUAAAGGGCGCGUAGGCGGUCUGGCCAGUCCGCAUGUGAAAUCCCUCGGCUCAACCGAGGAACUGCAUCGGAAACUUCCAGACUAGAGUGCAGGAGGGGAGAGCGGAAUUCCUGGUGGAGCGGUGAAAUGCGUAGAUAUCAGGAGGAACGCCGGUGGCGAAAGCGGCUCUCUGGCCUGCAACUGACGCUGAGGCGCGAAAGCU
rnacentral:rRNA from 1 species